rnacentral:rRNA from 1 species
UGGGGAAUUUUGGACAAUGGGCGCAAGCCUGAUCCAGCCAUGCCGCGUGUCUGAAGAAGGCCUUCGGGUUGUAAAGGACUUUUGUCAGGGAAGAAAAGGACAGGGUUAAUACCUCUGUUUGAUGACGGUACCUGAAGAAUAAGCACCGGCUAACUACGUGCCAGCAGCCGCGGUAAUACGUAGGGUGCGAGCGUUAAUCGGAAUUACUGGGCGCAAAGCGAGCGCAGACGGUUACUUAAGCAGGAUGUGAAAUCCCCGGGCUCAACCUGGGAACUGCGUUCUGAACUGGGUGACUAGAGUGUGUCAGAGGGAGGUAGAAUUCCACGUGUAGCAGUGAAAUGCGUAGAGAUGUGGAGGAAUACCGAUGGCGAAGGCAGCCUCCUGGGAUAACACUGACGUUCAUGCUCGAAAGCGUGGGUAGCAAACAGGAUUAGAUACCCUGGUAGUCCACGCCCUAAACGAUGUCAAUUAGCUGUUGGGCAACUUGAUUGCUUAGUAGCGUAGCUAACGCGUGAAAUUGACCGCCUGGGGAGUACGGUCGCAAGAUUA